rnacentral:lncRNA from 1 species
CUUCCCAACAGUGUCUGCCACCAUUUAUAGGUGUUAGACGUCACGGGGGGAAGAAGGCAAGUGGGAUUUCUCCAUACCUGGAAGGGUUAAGCCUUGAGUCAAUCUGCAGCAAAUGGCACACCCAGUUUGAGGUUCAUGAGGGUGAAGUAAUUUAUCUAUGAGUCAUAUCACUGAAUACACUCUGUUCUAUAGAAUGUUGGUUAGCAACUGGCUCCCAAACAUCGUGUCCAAUGGUUCUGUUAUACAUGGCAUUUGAAAAGAGGAGAGUUGCUCAUUUGACUUAGCAUUUGGCAAUGAAAUGAAGCUGGUAUUGCAAAGGACAUGGGUUUUCACCGAUGGAUUUAGGGUCUGAAGUGAAGUGCUGUGUUGCAUGACUCCAUUUUCAUACUAAGCCUAAAGGCCGGAGGAGGACCACCCUGGUGCCCCUGGCUCAGGGGCAAAAGAGCAACACUCCUGAGAAACUGUCAGUAUUGGAAACAAAACAGAAAAGAAAAAGAACCCAGCAGAAUGGGCCUCUUGUUUUAUUGUAUGUGGCUUUUGCAAAUGCUCUGACUCUAUGAUUAAAUUCUUAGCAAUUUUCAAAAGUUCCAUACUGAUUGGUGCUUUUAAACUAGAACCUUAAAACCCAGUCCUCCCAACUCCAGAUCCUAUCAAAAGAGCCCUGUACUCAUUAGUCAGGAGGAAUGAGCAGGCAAGAGGGUGAGGCUGUGUGUGUCAAUGGCUGGAAGGAAGGUGUGAUGAGUUGCUGUUUUGUUGCUAGGCAACAGGUUUUAUGUGACAACAAUUCCCUUUCUCUGAAGAAUCAGAGAGCUCUUUUUUGUUUCAUGAAAGCAGUGCAUUUUCUUGAUACAGCAGAUGACCCUGGUUUGGUUUGUCUGGCUCUGGUUUUUGUGACUGCCACUCUCUCCAAGCCUCUAAACUCCCCCAGGGAAGGACAAUCUUAAGGCCAAUCGACCAUGCUCUGUGUUUUCCUCAGAUGGUUUGCAUGUGAACCCAUGAAGUUUUUGCAUGGCCAUUGGUGCCUCCUGCUACUCCAGCUCUUCCUCUUCUCUUUCAAGGACUGAGCCGACAUGCAAAGAGAUGUUGCCCAGUUUUAGAGGUAAAGAGAUACAAGGCCUCCUGUCCUCACUAACCUGUAUGUCCCCUCUCCUGCCUGGUACUCAGGCCGGCUCUCCUUGCCCCACCCUCCUGCGGGGCCCCACCUCCA